GGGAGAGAGGUUGAGUGGUCAAAAGAGGCAGACUAUAAAUAUGUUGAAGUCUUUCUACGUAGGUUCGAAUCCUUACUCUCCCA